ACUUUUCAAAUUACAAUUUUCAGUUCAGUCUAGUUUUCUCGCGAGUGACUCAGCUACGAAAGCAUAUAUUCAGCUCUUCUUCGAGGAAUUUUACUCAACAUCCUACGCAUUUUUAUCUGACAUUGUUUAUGUCGAGAGGCGUAUUUAUAGGGGGAGCACGAGGACUGCGAAAAUAGGAGAACUCGUUGGAGAACUACGUCAGAGUUGCCACAGAAAUAAACAUUACACGUGUUUUCUGGCACAGACUCUAGUCAUCUAAUUUUCUCUAAUUCUUUUGGUACAUUGAAAGAAAACUCAGAUACUCUGGAUACCUCAGUGGAAAUGGGCCUACCCUGUGACUGGCAGAUCACCAAGCAAAGGGUUGCAGAGCGAGGACAAUAUUUAUUGGAAUCUGGACAAUGGUCGGAUUGCAAGUUCAUUGUAGGCCAAGAACCACAUCAGCAAGAGCUUCAAGGACACAAGCUAUUCCUUGCUAUGUCGAGUCCAGUGUUCGAGGCAAUGUUCUUUGGUGGUAUGGCAGAGAAGAAUGACCCUAUUCCAAUACGUGAUGUUCAACCUGAAGCAUUCAAGGCUCUAUUGCAAUAUAUAUACACAGAUGAUGUUGAUCUUGGUUCAUUUGAACUAGCCUGUGAGCUUUGUUACUGUGCUAAAAAGUACAUGCUCCCACAUCUUGUCGAAAAGUGUACUAAAUUUUUAUGGUGUGAUCUGUCUCCCAAAAAAGCUUGCCGAGCAUAUGAGUUUGCAAAACUUUUUGAGGAACCUAUCCUUAUGGAAAAAUGUCUACAUAUCAUUUCAACAAAGACCAGCGAAGUACUGAGGGAACCUAGUUGGGAGGAAAUUGAACUAACAACGCUGCUUAUGAUAUUCGAUCAGGAUGCUUUAAAAAUUUAUUCUGAAAUUGAAUUAUUUAAUGCAGUAGAACGAUGGGCUCGUGCUGAAUGUAUAAGAAAAUGUUUAGAUCCAACUGAUCAAAAAGCUUUGAAGUCUGUCAUCGGGAAUGCUCUGGCAAAAAUCAGAUUUUUAACACUGACACCUCAGGAGUUUGCUGAAGGUCCUGCAAAAUCACCUUUAUUAACUCAAAGUGAAGCUUUCCAUAUUCUACUGAACAUAUCCUCCAGUGAAAAGACAUUUAUUAUGCCAGAAGGAUUCUCAAAUCAUAUAAUGCGUAGGUUAGAACCACCAAUUUUUGAGAAAGCAAUACCCCUUUGGAAUACUUCUCCUAUUCCAUCCACUGAUUCACGGUCUCUAAAAAAGUUUAGCUUCCGGUCAAACAUACAGCAAUUCCCUCUAAAAACAAUAUUUCAAGAACAGAAAUAUUACUGUCAAAGACCUGUUCUCCAAUUGACAGACUGUCUCAAUAGUAGUGUCCUGGAUUGUUCUGUAACAUUCAGUGUAAACAAGGAUAUCGAUAUAAUUGGUGUUGUAGUACCAGCCCAAGUGUGUUCAAUGAUAUUUUGUCACAGGCACGUACUUCCUCGAGUAUAUUUUCGCAUAAUACACCAGGCAGUAGCACGUAUACAGAAGUUCUUUAUGCUCAUCUCCUAGACCCUGAUGGUUGUCGAUUGACUUAUACUCACUUCACAACAAAAGCUACUCCCGGAUCCCUGGUGGAAAUUACAUUCAACAUGAGUAUAAAAAUUCAGCAAGGAAAGAUUUACCGAGUAGGUGUAGCCUUCAAUAAAACUGGUGUCUACCCUAUGGCAGCUUGCCCUGUCCAAGUACACUCCAAUUCAGUUACGUUCUCCUUUGGUGUUGGAAAUCCAGAAAAUAAUACUCGGGAUGGUCUAAUUCGAUCGAUUGUCUUCUUCGAUCGAUACAAUUAGGAACUUCAAUUCUGAGUCUAUCAAAGUGACGAAUAUUAAUUAGUCACUUAAAUGUUGUGAUACAAAAGGGGGAUCUCUCUGGUUUGGUCGUGUACCAACUGUGAACGCAAUUUUCAUAAAAAAAGUAUGACUAUAAAACCGAAUUAACGGUUACCAUUUUUACAGUUUUACAGACAUUUCUCAAUGCAAGAACUUUCAAUAUUCAGAUGUAAUUGUUAGAUCAAAAUUUUUCUGACGCGGACAUGACUCUGACGUUACGUUUCUCUCUUUGACUAAAAAUGACUUUUAAUUUUAAUUCUACAUCAUCGCCAAAUUUGAACAUGUACGAUACCACAUUCAUUCAUUUUUGGCAAAAAUAUUCAUUGUUCACUCUUAUAGUAAUUUCGUGCUAAGCAUAUAUUAAAUUAGCUUUUCAUUCGUGCCAAAUUUUAUGAUUUACCCAUCGUCUGGUGUCAAUUUUAAUAAUACAAUUCAAAGAUGUUCUAUCUACAAAGAAGCAAAAAGCGGAUUAACAUUACCGAUUAAAUUUUUAUUAAAAAAAAAAUUAUAUUAGCCUAUAAUACUUCGUUGCCCGACAUUAAUGAUUGCGUGAUUAUUGUUCAUUCAAAUAUUUUCAAAAAAUAUUAAAAACAAUUUUAAUUAUUGUACCGAGCUGCGCUUUUCAGUCAAAAAGACUCAAAAAUAUUUGGGUACUAUUUCACGUCCUGUAGAGCAAGAGCGAAUCCGUUUAAUUGUUCGUGAGCUCUCACAGCAAAUUAUUAUUUAUUAUAUAAUACUAAUUUUACUAACGAUAAGACAGACGCUCUGUUUAUUAUUCUUGUUCGAAAGAAUUUUUACAUCACACUAUAAAUACUAACACCGUAUCAUUCACAAUAUGAUAAUAAAAUUCAUGUACUAGAUGCGGAUCGAUAAAUUAUCCAAAUAAACUAUAAAUAUCCAAA